rnacentral:rRNA from 1 species
CCUACGGGAGGCAGCAGUGAGGAAUAUUGGUCAAUGGGCGGAAGCCUGAACCAGCCAAGUAGCGUGCGGGAUGAAGGCCCUACGGGUCGUAAACCGCUUUUGCACGGGGAUAACACCCUCCACUUGUGGAGGUCUGCAGGUACCGUGCGAAUAAGGGCCGGCUAAUUCCGUGCCAGCAGCCGCGGUAAUACGGAAGGCCCGAGCGUUAUCCGGAUUCAUUGGGCUUAAAGGGAGCGUAGGCGGGCGUUCAAGUCAGCUGUAAAAUCGCGCGGCUCAACCGCGCCCCGAAGUUGAAACUGGACGCAUUGAGUGCACAACAGGCAGGCGGAAGUCGUGGUGUAGCGGUGAAAUGCAUAGAUAUCACGAGGAACCCCGAUUGCGAAGGCAGCCUGCCGGGGUGCGACUGACGCUGAGGCUCGAAGGUGCGGGUAUCAAACAGGAGUAGAUACCCUAGUAGUC